GCAACUUUUCAAUUCAUGCAGUUGAGAUUCGAGAACAAAGAAGUUGCAGUGGAUAUCCACAAACAGACGAUGCAAUUUACAUUAACAGAAUAAGACGGCUGGCACGAGUGGUCAGAGAGAAAGAUAGAAAAAGAAUAAGACGGCUAACACAAGUGGUCAGAGAGAGGCAAAAAAUAUCCCAGCUUAAACGCGAACUGAAGGAACUGAAGAGACAAGAAGCACAAAAUAGCCGGUAUGAACUUGUAAAAUAAAAUACCAAGGUGGUUGUACAAAUGUUGUUAGUCAAAGAAAACUAAGUUAUCUAAGUUGAUCAUUUUCAUGACCUUUUUGCAGAUAUAGGCCAUACAACAUUCAAAUUCUGCGGCUUCCAGGGACAUAUGAAGCUACAGGACAGACCUCGAGGCCAGCAACAACCAACCACAAUCAUGUUUUCUACGAUAUGAUUAUCCCUCAUACUUAUUAUGGAAUGCCUCCAGCAGUGGCCGACAAGGCCUCUUUCCAACGAGUCAAGUGGCCGAACGCCCCUUUCCAACCAGAUGCUUCCAGCCAUACCAGAAUAACAACCCCACCACCACCAACUGUACACCAUCCAUAUACAUCCACCCCCUGCCACCCCACAAGCUACCUACUAUUUUCCGAUGUCUCCACCUCCACCACAAG
rnacentral:lncRNA from 1 species